UGGGGAAUAUUGGACAAUGGGCGCAAGCCUGAUCCAGCCAUGCCGCGUGAGUGAUGAAGGCCCUAGGGUUGUAAAGCUAUUUCACCGGUGAAGAUAAUGACGGUAACCGGAGAAGAAGCCCCGGCUAACUUCGUGCCAGCAGCCGCGGUAAUACGAAGGGGGCUAGCGUUGUUCGGAUUUACUGGGCGUAAAGCGCACGUAGGCGGACUAUUAAGUCAGGGGUGAAAUCCCGGGGCUCAACCCCGGAACUGCCUUUGAUACUGGUAGUCUUGAGUUCGAGAGAGGUGAGUGGAAUUCCGAGUGUAGAGGUGAAAUUCGUAGAUAUUCGGAGGAACACCAGUGGCGAAGGCGGCUCACUGGCUCGAUACUGACGCUGAGGUGCGAAAGCGUGGGGAGCAAACAGG
rnacentral:rRNA from 1 species